GACGAACGCUGGCGGCGUGCUUAACACAUGCAAGUCGAACGAAGUGGCGAACGGGUGAGUAACGCGUAAUCAAACUGCCCUUAAGAGGGGGCCAACAGUUGGAAACGACUGCUAAUACCACAUACUGAAGGAGGGGAUUGCGUCUGCUUAGCUAGUUGGAGGGGUAACGGCCCACCAAGGCGAUGGUCAGUAGCCGGUCCGCGAGGAUGAACCGCCACAUUGGGACGGAGAGACGGCCCAGACUCCUACGGGAGGCAGCAGUUGGGAAUCUGCCGCAAUGGACUGAAGUCUGAUGGCGCAACGCCGCGUGAGUGAUGACGGCCUUCGGGUUGUAAAGCUCUGUUAAUCGGGACGCGGUACCGGAAUAGAAAGCCACGGCUAACUACGUGCCAGCAGCCGCGGUAAUUC
rnacentral:rRNA from 1 species